rnacentral:lncRNA from 1 species
AGUUGGCAGGAUGGCAGCAGCAGACACACAGGGUGGUUAAGAACAACAAACACAGGCAAACCACUUCAAUAGAACAUGGCUGGCGGCCAUAUGGACAUAUUUGAAUCCAACAAUUAAUUCAGCAAAGAAAGCUGCUUGUGGCAAGUUUUGAAUGUGCCAUUCCAGGUAGUGCUUUGAUGAUAAAUGAGGAGAAGAUUGCAAAGAAAAUGACAGCAACAUUUAUAAAAGGAUUCCUCUUAGGACUCUAGAUGCACGGAGAGUGGCCAGAUUAAUACAGACUGGCAAAAGAAGAACUUGGCAAAGUGAUUUGAUCACACACUUCUCACCCUCACAUCUCCUGACAGUUCCCCUAAUCCCUGCCCCACUUCCCCGCCAUGGGCUUCCAUCAGGAAACUCCUUGAUAUCAUCUUCGAGAAGAAAACUGAGGCAUAGAACAUUUGGGAAUGAAUCUAAGACUACACAUCUAGAAUAGCAGAGUUACAGGAAUGCAGAUGUGAUUCCUAUGGAUGAGGGUAACCUAGAGGCUAGAAGAACAAUAGGACAGAAGAAGCCUGGGUCCCUGAACAACCUUGUGGAGCAUAGACACCUACGUGGCCUGGACUGCCAGCUCACAAUGGGCCUCUCUGUGAGAGAAGGAAACUUCCCUCUUGUUUAAGCAACUGUGCUUUUGAGAAUCUCUUGGUCUAUACCCUAAUGAAUAAGGCCAUCAUAAAUGGAUAUCAAAGUAAGGAAAUUUGUGUAAAUGAUUUAAUAAAACAUUACCUCAGGUAUGAAAUAA